rnacentral:lncRNA from 12 species
AGAGAGGUGCCCUUGCUCCUGCGCCCUGGGAAGGGAACGAUACCGUUAAGGAAGCCUACAAACUGGCACCUGCGCGCGCGGCUCUCGGUGCCCCCGCGAACCCGAGGGCCAGAGCGGGCAGGGGCGGGCAGGGCGCCCACCCGACUGGGAGGACCGAGGCUGGGCUGCCGUCCUGCGGGCGGGCCCCGGGGAGCCGGCUGCCCCGCGGUCCCGGAAGGUCUGGGCGGCGGAGUUCCGCGCGGGCGCGGGCGCGGGCGCGGGCGCUCGUCGGCGGGGGCGGGAGCGCGGUGCCCGGCCGCGGAGGAGGCCCGGACCCACGGCAGGCACAGGCCCCGCGGGUGCUCCGGCGCUCCCGGCUCGCCCACCCCCGCCGGCCGCCUGGGCUUGGUGACGCGCCCGCGCCCCUCCCGGUGCCCCAGAAGUGCUCGCCUUCCCCCUGGGGCCGGCGCCUCCCGCGCCCCCACCCGCACGGUCCCGCGUUCUGCCCCCUGGCCCCGCCGCCCCCCGCACCUACCGGGCGGGGCCCGCGCUCCCCAGCAGGUGGCCCCGGGCCACGCGGCGUCCAGCGGGGCCGAGACGGAGGGAAGGCGGCUCAAACCCUCGGCCUCGCUUGUGCAAACAGUGUCCCUGCGCGCCCGCCCGCGCUGCCCCACCCGCGGCCCGCGUGCCCCAGCGGCUGACUGGGUGCUCGCGGCCCCACCCGGGCCCCUGGACGCGCUCCAGGCCCAGGCGUCGGCGCGGCCUGCUGCCCCAGGGGACCCCCCAGCCCGGGCACCCGGCCCCGAGCUGCCGCGUGUGGGGGCCAGGCCGCCGCCCCCCACCUGCAGCCCGCCGAGGCCGCCGCGCCCUCUCGGCCGCGGGACGCAGUGGUGUCAGCGGCCCGGGCCUGCUCCGCCGCGGGGCUCAAGGGCUCCUGCAAGCCCGGGCCUGCGGAGGCGGGAGGCCUCGGUCACAGGGACAGCCCCAGCAGGCCGAGUCAGCUCACCUCCCGGGUCGCCUCCCGACUCCCGGAGCUUACUCUACCCGCCCCGCCCCCGUUUGUUGACAUUAAAGUCAUUUAUCAGACACUCGGGCACUUGUCAGCACAGGCCACAAAGCUUUGUAGGGCAGAAUCAAGGAGGCGAAAGGCUGGAAAGAUGCAGGCUGCAAACAACAGACACGGGGGGAAAAAUGAAAGAACUCUGGAGAAAGGAAAGAAGGUUCCUGGACAGUCUCCUGACCUAUUUCCAGGGACUGCAUGGCUUCAUCCAGGCUGCUCAUCACUGCGGUGGAGAGGAAAUCAUCAGAAUGAACAUUUUCUCUUUCAAAAGACUUCAUGGUUUCUAGGCUGAACAUCAUUGUGCCUCCAUAGCGUUUCCCUCGGGGCUUCGCCACCAAGAUGCGAAUCAGCCUUUUGGCGCCUCCCCAUGAUGAGGAUCUCAACCUUGCCCUCGGAGUUGGGCUCUCUCAUCUGGAGCAGGACCUUGAACUCCCGUUCGAACCCCGGGACGAGGGCUCUGCUUGGUCCGAAAAUCUUCUCCAGCAGACGGGCAUCCACAUGAAGCACGGAUGGCUUCAGAAAGUGCUUAAACCUACACCAGUACCGUUGAGUGUGGACAAGGAGCCAGUUCUUGGAGAGAGAAUACUUCUUGCUGGCUCCUGAGCCGUGCGAUCGGUGCAGGGUCUUCAUCACGAAGGGCGCCACUGCUGUACCCUGGACGGAAUCCGCAGGAAGAGACCGUUUUUAAUCUAUUUUGAAUUAAUUUUUGUGUAUGGUAUAAGAAAGUGGUCAAUUCUUUUGCACGUGGCUGUCCAGUUUUCCCAACACCGUUUAUUAAAGAGACUCUCCUUUCCCCAUUAUACAUUCUUGCCUCUUUUGUCACAAAUUAAUUAACCAUAUGCAUAUGGACUCUCUACUUCAUUCAUCUGUGUGUCUGUUUUUAUGCCAAUACCAUAUUGUCUUGAUUACUACAGCUUUGUAAUAUAGUCUGAAAUCCAGAAGUGUGAUGUCUCCUGCUUUGUUCUUCUUCCUCAUGAUGCCUUGGCUAUUCUGGAUCUUUUGUGGUUCCAUACAAAUUUUAGGACUGUUUGUUCUAUUUCUGUGAAAAAUGACUUUGGAAUUUUGUUAAAAAUUGCACUGAAUCUGUAGAUUGUUUUGGAUAAUGUGGCUAUCUUGACACAAGGAUUUUUUUUUAACACUAUUGAUACUUCCAGUUCAUGAGCAUGGCAUAUCAUUUUUUUGUGUCUUCUUUAGUUUCUUUCAUAAAUGUCUUACAGUUUUUAGUGUACAGGGUUUUGACUUCUUGGUUAAACUUAUUUCUAGGUAUUUUAUUCUUUUGGUUUUUUUUUAAAGAUUUAUUUAUUUAUUUAUUUAUUUAUUUAUUUAUUCAUGAGAAACACAGAGAGAGAGAGAGAGAGAGAGAGGGAGAGAGAGGCAGAGACACAGGCAGAAGGAGAAGCAGGCUCCAUGCAAGGAGCCUGAUGUGGGACUCCAUCCCAGGUCUCCAGGAUCACACCCUGGGCUGCAGGCGGCGCUAAACCGCUGUGCCACCGGGGCUGCCCUAUUUUAUUCUUUUGAUACAAUUGUAAAUGAGAUUGUUUUCUUAAUUUAUCUUUCUGAUAGUUCACUGUUAGUAUAUAAAAACACAACAGAUUUUUGUGCAAGCAUAUCUCACAGAUAUUGCAGGUUCAGUUCCAGACCACCACAAUAAAGUAAAUAUCACAAUAAAGCA